GAUGAAGAACGUAGUGAAAUGCGAUAAGUAAUGUGAAUUGCAGAAUUCAGUGAAUCAUCGAAUCUUUGAACGCACAUUGCGCCCGCCAGUAUUCUGGCGGGCAUGCCUGUUCGAGCGUCAUUUCAACCCUCAGGCCCCCAGUGCCUGGCGUUGGGGAUCGGCGCGGCGCCCUCCGGGGCGCUGCCGGCCCCGAAAUUCAGUGGCGGUCUCGCUGUAGCCCUCCUCCGCGUAGUAGCACAACCUCGCGGCCUGGAGCUCGGCGGUGGCCAUGCCGUAAAACACCCCACUUCUGAAAGUUGACCUCGGAUCAGGUAGGAAUACCCGCUGAACUUAAGCAUAUCAAUAAGCGGAGGA
rnacentral:misc_RNA from 1 species